AUGGCGCCCUGCCCUGGCGUCGCGGGCGUGCACGCGCGCUGGACGGCGCGGGCGCUGGCCGGCGCCUUCCUCGACCUCGCCAUCGUCUACGCCUUCCUCUGCGCCGCGGCCGCCGCGUCCGCGGCCUCCGCCCUCCUCGCGCUCUUCCGCCUCCGCCUCCCCUGCACCUGCUCCCGCCCGCACCUCCCCUGCCUCUUCGCCUUCCUCUUCCGCUACCCCUCCCGCGUCCUCGAGUCCCUCCUCCUCUCCCUCCGCUCCCGCUUCCCCUUCGUCUUCAACUCCGACGACGACAGCCUGGACGAGGGGGAGGACGAAGACGAGUCCGUCGAUGAGGAAGAGGAGGGGGUGAAUCUGAAGCGGGAGGUGGACGAAGGGAAUGACGUCUCGGCGCUGCAGCAGGAGCUGGACAAGGAACGCAGCGCCGCAGCAUCCGCGGCCGAGGAGGCCAUGGCGAUGAUCCUGCGUCUGCAGAAGGAGAAAUCGUCCUUGGAGAUGGAGGUGCGGCAGCAGCGCCGCACCUCUGAUGAGCGCUGCGCCUUCUACGAGGAUGAGGUGGAGGAGCUCAAGGACAUCUUGCUCAUGAGGGAGCGCGAGACCAGGUCUUUGCAGAAAGAGGUGGAGUCCUACCGGCGGAUGCUUGGUCUCACCGGGGAUGAUGAUGACGAGGAGGUGGAGAUGAUGACGCCGCACAGUUACUUUCUAGAGGGCGAGCCAAGCUCUUCCAGAUCGGUUGAUAAGAAUGCGGGGGUUCAACCUGGGAAUAAUUCUGUCUUCAGCUUCCAGAAGCAGUUCGUGCGCCAACAAGUGUCGCCCAUUCGUGUGGGUCGUGUUAAGGAUGGGAAUGAGGACAGUCUGCCUUUUCAGGCACUUGGAGAAGUUCCUGUGGUCGGAUCGAAAUUGGGGGCAGAUAGAUGCGAAGAUGAUGGCACGGAGACGGUGGUAGUUCUCCCCCUAUCUGCCCGGAGUUUGUGCUUGCCCCAAUCUGCACGAUGUCUGGAUCAAGGUGGUGAUGUUGAAGUUAAUGCUGCAGCUGGUAUGAAAGGUAUGGAAGAGCUGACUGCUGAUGAAUUUCAGGAGGUGGACAGUGGGCGUCUGGACAAGACUUGCCAUGAUUUUGCGGCAAGCGACAAUGAUGCAAAUAUAUUUGAUGUGCAUGUUGUUGAUGAUAUUUGCCUCUCCAAUGAAGUUAAAGGCCUGAUCGGUCGAAGCUUCUCUGAUGCAACAAUGCAAGCAGACAAGUUGCAGAAUCGAGCUGCCGCAGAUGAUCUCCUGGGGAAAAGUCUGAAUGCGAUCAAAGGUGCACAAAACAAGAUAAGGCUUGCAGCAAGUGAAAGGAGGCAAUCGUUACAGUUGCAACUCUUAGAGGAUAUAGCUGACCAACUUCAAGAAAUCAAAGAUGUUGCAGAUGCAGGGCGACACUUACACUGUAUUUCUCCUAAAAUUUCAAAGAAAAGCUAG
rnacentral:rRNA from 1 species